UGGGGAAUAUUGCACAAUGGGCGAAAGCCUGAUGCAGCGACGCCGCGUGAGGGAUGACGGCCUUCGGGUUGUAAACCUCUUUCGACAGGGACGAAGCGCAAGUGACGGUACCUGUAGAAGAAGCACCGGCCAACUACGUGCCAGCAGCCGCGGUAAUACGUAGGGUGCGAGCGUUGUCCGGAAUUACUGGGCGUAAAGAGCUUGUAGGCGGUUUGUCGCGUCGUCCGUGAAAACUUGGGGCUCAACCCCAAGCUUGCGGGCGAUACGGGCAGACUUGAGUACUGCAGGGGAGACUGGAAUUCCUGGUGUAGCGGUGAAAUGCGCAGAUAUCAGGAGGAACACCGGUGGCGAAGGCGGGUCUCUGGGCAGUAACUGACGCUGAGAAGCGAAAGCGUGGGUAGCGAACAGG
rnacentral:rRNA from 1 species